GCAAAGGCGGCUGGUGCUGUUCAAGUAUUGAACUGCAGAAACCUAGUGAGUAGAAGGCGAAGCUGACAGGUGGGAGGGGUGAGACCACAGGCCAGAGCUCAGGAAAAGACCACACUGACGCACAGUGAAUCACAACUACCAUUUUAUUGUUCGAUGAUUGCGGUACAGAAUUGUCCACGUGCUCCAGGCCUAGUUUGGCCAUGACACACACCACAGAUGGCUCCACAAGUUAUGGGGAACAUUAUCUGAGCCACAUCCUUCUCUGGUCAUGUUUUUCCAACCAUCACAACCACUUUUUUCCACGGAACAUGGAGUGACAAAUUACCUCAAACCAAAGUCAUCCUUCAUUCAUGACAGUGUGUACCAGCCAGGCCACAGACCAGCACAGAACACGAGGGGGCUGGCUUCAGUCUAUGAACCACAAGGCAGCUCGUGAACACUGAACACGUGCUUGCAUUUAUCGCUGUAACUAAGCGGACAGAUGCACAACGUGAGCCAGGUCAGAUUUGGACUUACAGGUACAAAUAUUGUAAUGAACUUUUCAUACAUAAGUCAACAUUCCUCUCCUGUCAAAUCAGCUACAGUUCCCAGUUUGGACACUGCUUUCACGAGUUAAGGAGUUAUGAUCACAGAUCAGCCAUGCAAGUCACUCUA